UACAGAGGGGGCGAGCGUUGUUCGGAAUUACUGGGCGUAAAGGGCGCGUAGGCGGCCCGCUAAGUCGAACGUGAAAUCCCCAGGCUCAACCUGGGAACUGCGUCCGAUACUGGCAGGCUUGAAUCCGGGAGAGGGAUGUGGAAUUCCGGGUGUAGCGGUGAAAUGCGUAGAUAUCUAGAGGAACACCGGUGGCGAAGGCGGCAUCCUGGACCGGCAUUGACGCUGAACAGCGAAAGCCAGGGGAGCAAACGGG
rnacentral:rRNA from 1 species